rnacentral:tRNA from 1 species
AAGGCCUUAGCUUAAUUAAAGCAUUUGAUUUGCAUUCAGGUUAUGUGGGAUAAAGUCCUGCAGGUCUUA